AGCACAAGGACACCUCUUAACAAUGAAUUCUCAAGGGAUAGAAAACUGAUCUUCCACAGCUACAAACCCUAGUACCCUGAUACCAGCCACUGUAUAGCUGGCAGGUCAUCAGAAACUGCUACAGAAGACAAUCACAAACAAAAUGGAGAUGGGAAUCCUACAGAUAGUGCUGAUAUUGACAACAGCCACUUCUGAGGCUCUUUCCACUGGAUCCACCCUGCCUGCAGCAU